rnacentral:rRNA from 1 species
UACAGAGGCCACAAGCGUUAGGCGGAAUCACUGGGCUUAAAGCGUGUGUAGGCGGAUGUCUAAGUACCUUGUGAAAUCCCACAGCUCAACUGUGGAACUGCUGGGUAUACUGGACGUCUUGAGGUAUUCAGGGGCAACCGGAACAAAUGGUGGAGCGGUGAAAUGCGUAGAUAUCAUUUGGAACGCCUGUGGUGAAGACGGGUUGCUGGGAAUAUUCUGACGCUGAGACACGAAAGCCAGGGGAGCAAACGGG